AUACGGAGGAUCCGAGCGUUAUCCGGAUUUAUUGGGUUUAAAGGGAGCGUAGGUGGAUUGUUAAGUCAGUUGUGAAAGUUUGCGGCUCAACCGUAAAAUUGCAGUUGAUACUGGGUGUCUUGAGUACAGUAGAGGCAGGCGGAAUUCGUGGGGGAGGGGUGGAAUGCUUAGAUAUCACGAAGAACUCCGAUUGCGAAGGCAGCCUGCUGGACUGUAACUGACGCUGAUGCUCGAAAGUGUGGGUAUCAAACAGGAUUAGAUACCCUGGUAGUCCACACAGUAAACGAUGAAUACUCGCUGUUUGCGAUAUACAGUAAGCGGCCAAGCGAAAGCGUUAAGUAUUCCACCUGGGGAGUACGCCGGCAACGGUGAAACUUAAAGGAAUUGACGGGG
rnacentral:rRNA from 1 species